UACGAAGGGGACUAGCGUUGUUCGGAAUUACUGGGCGUAAAGCGCACGUAGGCGGAUUUGUAAGUCAGAGGUGAAAGCCCGGGGCUCAACCCCGGAACUGCCUUUGAAACUAGGUAGCUAGAAUCUUGGAGAGGCGAGUGGAAUUCCGAGUGUAGAGGUGAAAUUCGUAGAUAUUCGGAAGAACACCAGUGGCGAAGGCGACUCGCUGGACAAGUAUUGACGCUGAGGUACGAAAGCGUGGGGAGCAAACAGGG
rnacentral:rRNA from 1 species